CGGGAAUAAGAACAGUACAACCGUCUCCGGUAUGUGAAACAUCGGCAAUAGGCUGUAGGGAAUCAGGCUUAAAACAAAGAUAAAGUAAAAAAUAAGAGAGUUAAAGGAAUUAAGUGAGGGAAAUAAGUCAAGUGAAGUAGAGCUUCAGUUCAGAUGAACACAGGAGGUCAACCAAUCCAGUAGUCGUGAUUUUGCGUCGGCCAUGUGUCCAAACCAGCCACCGUUCUGUAACCGUCAUCGAGACCCCGUCGGAGGAGACCCGCGGCCACAAUGCCGGAUCUAAGAAGACUUGAACCCCGAAACCCUAACCACCGUAUCUACCUUGUAUGGUCGCCGAUUCACAGAUCCGAUGAAACCGCGUACAAUUCCACCGUCACCUCUGAGUCGAGAAGAGACCGCAUCAGAGGAAGACUCAUCUCGAGGAACCCGCCAUCCCCAAAGAUUGCUCCUCCAUCACGAGACCACUCGUAGAUCCCGCCGUCCUCAAACUGAGCGCAUAAGCCAAAGUCCCCGACGAGACACCGGGACCACCAAGCUCCCAUGGAGGCCACCACAACAGAGCAUAACCAAAUCGCAGAGAAGAGAAAGGGAGAGGACCUCCGAGAAACCACCGUGAAUCGAAACUAUUCCGACUUGUCGUUGUUGUCAUCUGUUACGAUCCAGCGUGUAAACUAUUUAGGCCGAAUCCCAAACCCAAACUAGCAAAGUGAUGAUAAUUUAGUUCAUAGGAAGAAUCGAACCCAUAAUUGAUGUGGAUACACAACAAGCACCAAGAUAGUGUCACUAGGCUACCACCACUUGGUUAUAUUAUAAGUAUUUUACUACACAUAUAUCCCUUUUUUGUUACGAACAUACUGUAUACAUUACGAACAUAUUGUAUACAUUCCAUUUAGUGUUACGAAUUACAUAAUUCAGACAAC
rnacentral:lncRNA from 1 species